rnacentral:antisense_RNA from 1 species
CGUUAUGGUGGCUGUACGUGUGGAGGCCUUCGGGCCUGCCGGUUUCCUUUGGGCCGGUCUGCUAACCCGCGUACAGUCGCCCCCAUC